rnacentral:misc_RNA from 1 species
GAAAGCGGGGGCAACUCCGUGAGUAAAGUGGCAGACGGGUGAGUAACACGUGAACAACCUGCCCUCGAGUGGGGAAUAACACCGCGAAAGCGGUGCUAAUGCCGCAUAACAUCCCCGGGUCGCAUGGCCUGGUGAUCAAAGGCGAAAGUCGCUUGAGGAGGGGUUGGCGAAUGAUUUUUCUCCUUGGUGAGGUGGCGAAUAAACCAAGGCUACGAACAGUAGCCGNCCUGAGAGUUUNAAUCGNUACACUGGGAUGNNNCNCNNUCCAAUCGGANACGNAGAAAUCU